rnacentral:lncRNA from 1 species
CGUCUUUCUGAUGUGAAACUAUUCCAGCUUAUUAAUAAAUUUUUACUUCUUUGCAGGGGAAAUCUGUGCCCUGAAAAGUCACAUGGACUUAAAGUCAAUGUAAUAGCAACUUUCCAAGUUUCCUCUGAGCUUCCCAUGAACCUAAGACAAGGAAGUUAUUUCCCUCAGAGGUGUCAGUGUCAAGAUAGAGAGCUCUCAACUUGCAGAGGAGCCUGGGAGCCUGCCUUGCAUCUGGAUCCUAUCACCUCAGUGUAUGGAGGCUUUGCACAGGAACGUUUCCCCAUGUAAACAAGCAGUGGUCAUGAGUUCCUCACACUACAAGCGGCUUCACAGGGCCUAGGGUGCAGUCUUUUUACACCUAUCUGUGGAGGACACCAGAGGAAGAAAGUAAUGUAGAUAUAGGAGCUUCAUCUACAGCCACCUCCCAGCUGAUAAACAGGCACUGGGUUGUACGUUUCCUAGGGAGCAAGAUUAGGGACGGAAUAAAACAUCAGGAUUUAUCAGAGAAAGAAAAUUCUUGUGUGCUGUAAAUGCACGUUCAGAGCUAGCUGCUUCCUGUGAGAGCUGAAAUGGGAUGAGAUCUGCUCUGCAGAGGGAAAACCCAAGGCAGUGCAGUCCCUCCACUGCUGACCAGCUACCACAUAUUAGGCGUGGGCUGAUGCUCUCAGGCACAUUCAUGCCUGCUUGGAAAACCAGGAUAGCCUGGAGAUGCUGGGAGAAGCUCUGUGGCAGGAGGGCUGGUGGCUUCUUCAGUCUGUACUGCAGUUGUUACCGCAGGCUGCAGCUUCGGCCCAGGUGUUGCUGUGCCCCCCAAGGAACUGAUUUAAGGGAUUGGGACGAUGUGUACAGGGAUUGGGAUGAUGUGUUUAGCCUGGGAUCAGAAGUACCAGCCUCCCAGAAGAUGCUGCCUGUCGUCAGGGUGCUCUGUAAGUGGUGCAUGGGAGGAGGUGUCCCUGUGACUGUAUUUUUAGAGACUGCAGGUGUUUCCUGUUCCUCCAAAGACGCUUGGUUCACCCCAUCCCAGGACGUGAGGACGUUGUGAUUUUGUUUUCUUCUUGUGCUUCUGUUGGUGUUUCAAGGGAACUUGCAAGAACCCCACUGUGCAGCUGUUUCUUCUCUGCCUGCCCCCUCUUUUAUCUGUCCUGAGAAGGUCUGUGCUAGCAGCAGUGGCGGGUGCUCACCUGCGGUCCUGCAGGAGCUUCCUCUGUCUCUAGCUUAUCUUCUGCCUCGUGGCCUUGCCCUGCCACCAACACCCAAUUUCUUUCAUAUAAUUCACGUCUGUCUUGUAUGCAUUUAGUUAUUUGGUGUUUGACAGGUCUGUCUCAUUAUUCCUGCUGGUUCUGGCUCCCUUCUCUCUUACAAAACAAAAUGGCGGCGAUGCCGGCUCCGCCUCUUCAGCCGCCAUCAUGAGGGCUGCCCGGGCAUGGCGGCUCCCUCAGCGGCCUCGAUGCUGGCCAAAAAGCCCUUCCCGCCUCCAUCCCCUGCUCUGCUGUGGAUCGUGUCUGCCCUGGGGCCGAUCUCCUUGGCAAGUGGAGCUCCCCAUUUUUUUCCUGAGGUACGUGUGACAUUGUGUGCCGUCCAGCAGCGCUGCCCAGCCGCCGAGCCCUCUGGGGCUCGGGGAUGCAUCUCGUGCAUCCUCGUAACAAGUCAUUCACGACUCCCUGGGCACCGGGCUUCAAGCUCAGUCUUUGAGAAGACUUUGGUAAAGAAGAAAGGAUUGCUUUUUUCCUGACAGCUGCAAAUGAAAAAUCUUUUCACUUGGGAGUUGCGGGUCAUAUUUAUGGAAAUGUGGAGAGCACUUGCAAUAUUUAUAGUGGUUACAGAAGCGAUUGAAUCUAUCUUUUAUUGAUACGUAUUUACAUGCCCACAAAAAUCCUAUUGCGUAGUAUUUGAGAGAAUUUUAUUUAGAUUUAGUAUUUUGAAGUAAUUUUUUAGUGCUUCUUUAUUAUCCGCGGAGUGCAAGAUUCAAUAUUUCAAGUCCAACUGUCACCAAACAGCCAGAGGUUUUUAAAAGAUUUUUAUUUUACAUAAAGAUAAAUGUUGAAGACACAUUUUUCAGAGGCACCAUCUGUUCCAUGUUGACCUUAAUUUUCUGGAUGAGUGCUUUUCCUCAAAUGUUUUAAGUCUCGUCUACAUUUCAUUUGGUUGGGAGUGUUUAGGUUAUUUGUUGAACAGGAAAUCAGAUAUUCAGCAUGCAAACACACCAUUACAUUGCAAAUUGUUCCCUUUGUAUAAUUUAGCAAACUGCUUGGUAAAUAAUUCUGCAGAGUUGCGGGUAGAGCUGCCUGACAUGUGGCAGGUCAGCCCCUGGUGGAAGUGGGUUUCUCUGAGUGCCACCGCCAUGCCUGGUGCUGGGAGCUGGGCUGCAGGAUGCCAGAUGACAACUGGUGGUGCCAACGGUGUGUAAAUGUCUUUAUCCAUCUUUCUUUAGGUGUCUUUAGGGGUGAGGAUAGGAUAAGGGCUCGUAGGUUGGCUUUGUGGCCCUGGCAGGGCUUGCUGUUCAGGCUGUCUGCACAGCAGUACUUGAUUCUAGCAGAGGGAGGUCACUGAAGCAGCUGUGUCUGGCACACAACAUUUCUGCAGGGCAAUAUUGCCAGCCACCUCCCUUUCUUCCUUCAGAUCCUUUUGCUCUCACAUCUUCAGCUGCAAUAGGCUUACAGAUGAAUUCUGGCUUCUUUGCCUCCAGCCUUGCUCUGUGGCUUGUCUGACAAGCUCCCUUGUGUUAUUGAUGCAGAUUGCCAAAAUGGGGCUCCUGAACCCCAACCUAACCCUGCCUUCAACUGUGGGGAGAGGAAAAAUACCAAGUUGUCUACCUCCUUACUAGUUCCUUCCUGCUUUCCUUCCCCAUAAGAUAAAACAUAAAAGCUGUAACACAACUCUAGGUGGAUGCUGUCUCUAUUGAUAGGUGGUUGAUUUGGACUAAGGCUGGCCUGCAGCAGCAAUUAUUUCAGUGACAAAAUGUGUGCUUGGCAGGGGCGGUAAUGUCUUUGUGGUUUUGGGUUGUGCGCAGCAUUGUAAUCCCGCCCUCAUGUUUCUUCUCCUAAUGUAGGAGAUCCUCUCACCCCUUCUGUGCUACAACAUCUAUAGUCAUAACCUGGGCAGGAUAUUGAGUUGUUUUUUUUCCCUAGAAAUGGAUUUGGAAAUAAAACUAAUGGAGUGGUAGAAAAAGUGAUAGAA